rnacentral:rRNA from 1 species
AUUGAACGCUGGCGGCAUGCUUUACACAUGCAAGUCGAACGGCAGCGCGGGCUUCGGCCUGGCGGCGAGUGGCGAACGGGUGAGUAAUGCAUCGGAACGUGCCCAGUAGUGGGGGAUAGCCCGGCGAAAGCCGGAUUAAUACCGCAUACGACCUGAGGGUGAAAGCGGGGGACCGAAAGGCCUCGCGCUAUUGGAGCGGCCGAUGUCGGAUUAGCUAGUUGGUGGGGUAAAGGCUUACCAAGGCGACGAUCCGUAGCUGGUCUGAGAGGACGACCAGCCAAAUGGGGACUGAGCACCGGCCCAACCACCGACGGGGGGCAGGAGGGGGGAAUUUGGGAAAAGGGGGGAAACCCUGAGCCAGCCAGGGCGGGGGGGGGAAAAGGGCCCUGGGGUGGAAAACCGCUUUUGUUGGGAAAAAAAUCCUCUGGGCGAAAACCCCGGGGGGAGGCGGGAACCGGAAAAAAAAACACCGGCUAACUACGG